GACGAACGCUGGCGGCGUGCCUAAUACAUGCAAGUAGAACGCUGAAGAGAGGAGCUUGCUCUUCUUGGAAGAGUUGCGAACGGGUGAGUAACGCGUAGGUAACCUGCCUUGUAGCGGGGGAUAACUAUUGGAAACGAUAGCUAAUACCGCAUAACAAUGGAUGACCCAUGUCAUUUAUUUGAAAGGGGCAACUGCUCCACUACAAGAUGGACCUGCGUUGUAUUAGCUAGUAGGUGAGGUAACGGCUCACCUAGGCGACGAUACAUAGCCGAACUGAGGGGGGGAUCGGCCACACUGGGACUGGGACACGGCCCAGACUCCUACGGGAGGCAGCAGUAGGGAAUCUUCGGCAAUGGGGGCAACCCUGACCGAGCAACGCCGCGUGAGUGAAGAAGGUUUUCGGAUCGUAAAGCUCUGUUGUAAGUCAAGAACGAGUGUGAGAGUGGAAAGUUCACACUGUGACGGUAGCUUACCAGAAAGGGACGGCUAACUACGUGCCAGCAGCCGCCGUAA
rnacentral:rRNA from 1 species